rnacentral:rRNA from 1 species
AUACGGAGGAUCCGAGCGUUAUCCGGAUUUAUUGGGUUUAAAGGGUGCGCAGGCGGGAGAUUAAGUCGGCGGUGAAAUUUUGCAGCUCAACUUUAAAAGUGCCUUCGAAACUGGUUUUCUUGAGUGUAGAUGAAGGAGGCGGAAUUUGUGGUGUAGCGGUGAAAUGCAUAGAUAUCACGAGGAACUCCGAUUGCGCAGGCAGCUUACUAAACUACUACUGACGCUCAGGCACGAAGGCGUGGGGAUCAAACAGGAUUAGAUACCCUGGUAGUCCACGCAGUAAACGAUGAUUACUAGCUGUUUGCGAUACAAUGUAAGCGGCUGAGCGAAAGCGUUAAGUAAUCCACCUGGGGAGUACGUUCGCAAGAAUGAAACUCAAAUGAAUUGACGGGG